rnacentral:rRNA from 1 species
CAGCCUAACACAUGCAAGUCGAGCGGUAACAGAAAAGAAGCUUGCUUCUUUAGCUGACGAGCGGCGGACGGGUGAGUAAUGCCUGGGAAUAUACCCUGAUGUGGGGGAUAACUAUUGGAAACGAUAGCUAAUACCGCAUAAUCUCUUCGGAGCAAAGAGGGGGACCUUCGGGCCUCUCGCGUCAGGAUUAGCCCAGGUGGGAUUAGCUAGUUGGUGGGGUAAUGGCUCACCAAGGCGACGAUCCCUAGCUGGUCUGAGAGGAUGAUCAGCCACACUGGACUGAGACACGGUCCAGACUCCUACGGGAGGCAGCAGUGGGGAAUAUUGCACACUGGGGGAAACCCUGAUGCAGCCAUGCCGCGUGUAUGAGGAAGGCCUUCGGGUUGUAAAGUACUUUCAGUUGUGAGGAAGGCGUUAAAGUUAAUAAGCUUUAGCGUUUGACGUUAGCAACAGAAGAAGCACCGGCUAACUCCGUGCCAGCAGCCGCGGUAAUACGGAGGGUGGAGCGUUAAUCGGAAUUACUGGGCGUAAAGCGCAUGCAGGCGGUCUGUUAAGCAAGAUGUGAAAGCCCGGGGCUCAACCUCGGAACAGCAUUUGUGAACUGGCAGACUAGAGUCUUGUAGAGGGGGGUAGAAUUUCAGGUGUAGCGGUGAAAUGCGUAGAGAUCUGAAGGAAUACCGGUGGCGAAGGCGGCCCCCUGGAAAAGACUGACGCUCAGAUGCGAAAGCGUGGGGAGCAAACAGGAUUAGAUACCCUGGUAGUCCACGCCGUAAACGAUGUCUACUUGAAGGUUGUGGCCUUGAGCCGUGGCUAUCGGAGCUAACGCGUUAAGUAGACCGCCUGGGGAGUACGGUCGCAAGAUUAAAACUGCAAAUGAAUUGACGGGGGCCCGCCACAAGCGGUGGAGCAUGUGGUGUAAAUUCGAUGCAACGCGAAGAACCUCACCUACUCUUGACAUCCAGAGAAU